UACGUAGGGUCCGAGCGUUGUUCGGAUUUACUGGGCGUAAAGCGCGUGUAGGCGGACUUGUAAGUUGGGGGUGAAAUCCCGAGGCUCAACCUCGGAACUGCCUCCAAAACUACAAGUCUGGAGCAAGAUAGAGGCAAGUGGAAUUGCGAGUGUAGAGGUGAAAUUCGUAGAUAUUCGCAGGAACACCAGUGGCGAAGGCGACUUGCUGGAUCUUUGCUGACGCUGAGACGCGAAAGCGUGGGGAGCAAACAGG
rnacentral:rRNA from 1 species